AGACCCGAAACCCGGUGAUCUAGCCAUGGGCAGGUUGAAGGUUGGGUAACACUAACUGGAGGACCGAACCGACUAAUGUUGAAAAAUUAGCGGAUGACUUGUGGCUGGGGGUGAAAGGCCAAUCAAACCGGGAGAUAGCUGGUUCUCCCCGAAAGCUAUUUAGGUAGCGCCUCGUGAAUUCAUCUCCGGGGGUAGAGCACUGUUUCGGCAAGGGGGUCAUCCCGACUUACCAACCCGAUGCAAACUGCGAAUACCGGAGAAUGUUAUCACGGGAGACACACGGCGGGUGCUAACGUCCGUCGUGAAGAGGGAAACAACCCAGACCGCCAGCUAAGGUCCCAAAGUCAUGGUUAAGUGGGAAACGAUGUGGGAAGGCCCAGACAGCCAGGAUGUUGGCUUAGAAGCAGCCAUCAUUUAAAGAAAGCGUAAUAGCUCACUGGUCGAGUCGGCCUGCGCGGAAGAUGUAACGGGGCUAAAC
rnacentral:rRNA from 2 species